UUUUUUCAUCAAGCAGUUUUUUUUUAUUUAUUUCUUUAAAGUACUUUAAUGAUCACUAUUCUGAUAUUUUCUGUAUUUUAUAAAUUUGUAAUGCUAUUUUUACAAUAUCUAAGUGCUUAUUCGGCAGAGUGAUUUCUAAGAGUUUUUGACUCUUAAAUAUUUUGAACAGACAGUAACGGUAUUUUUAAUAGGGAACAAAUUUCACAAUUGGUUGUGCAUUUUUGGAAUAAGAUAUAAGUGAACCAGAAAGGUGCAUCCAAAACUUGAUCAAAUAAUCAUUCUUUUUCAGACCUGGUAGUGUUGACGGGUGAGUACCAUUUCUAAAUAGAAUUUAUCUGUUUUAGCUUGUUAGAGUUAAGUGUUCGCACGAAUUUUUGAAGAGUAUUUUAGUUGGAAAAGUAAUGGCUGUGCAAGCUUCUUUGUCCAUUUAUUCGUCAAUCGAAAGUAAGUUGAGACCUUCAGACCAUUAAGUGUACACAAGACACUAUCUAUACGCUCUAUAUAUACGCACUAACUAUAGUUAUACAUUAAAAUGGAGUAACUUCAAAAUGGAACCUAAUUUUUAAAUUUUUGAAUUGUUAAAACCUGAAUAUACUUAAGAAGGUGUAAAUUAUUCAAUUUAAAAAAAUGCUACAUUUAUUUAUUUAAAAAGAAUACUCAUAUUUAGAAGCUGGAAUAUGUGAAUUAAAAAAUUUUUGUUAAGUUAUUCCGAACAAAAUAAUAUCAAUAGAUUUAAAAACUUAGAAAUGUGUUGUUACCCAGAUUAUAGUUUUGAGGUAAUUGGAGGGUUAAUAUCCUCUAAAACAAAACCUAUUUCUAUGCCCUAUAUAAUCCUACGUCAAAGAGACACAAAUUUGGGACCCUUCAAAGUGUCUUAAAUAAAAUUUACAUAUGCAUACAAUUCCGGGUAAAUAAUUAAAACACAAUAUUUGAAAAAAACUAUAGUUUAAUUAAACAGUAAAAGAUAACAAAAAGAGUAAUAAUAAUUCAGUUGCAUAACAAUCUCUUCGCUGACAUUAUGUACGUUUUCAUUAUUUGCGUUGAUUUUAAAAACAUUAAUUACAUAAUCGAGAAAAUAUUUUUCUCUUGGAAUAUAUGUGUACAGAGUCGUAUUUAGGAGUUGCAAUUCCCAGUGUACUCAAUUCUUCCAUCCUUAUUAAUUUUGGUCAUCAAAAAAUUUUUUUUUGUUUGAAUGAGCAAAUCCAAACAAAGAAGGUGUUCAACUCUAUAAUUUAUAUUACUUCAUAUUUUAAUGCGGCCUUAAAAACCACCCUCUUGGGACACGUGCACCAAGUGUUUCCAUCUAGAUGUGUAGAUCAAUUAUCACGUAUAAUUUUAGAUGAAUAAGCUAUCGUUAAAAAAUAUUUAUCAAUGUAUAUUAUUUCACAGUAAGUAAAAUAAACAAAAUUGAAAAAAUUCCCUCGCUCCCCGUAAAUGGAAGAAAUCCCCUAACAAAUUACAAUUUUAGGAAUCAGUAAUUUUUGAAAUUUUUACAAUAUUUUUUCUUAAAACUUCCAUAACUUUUUUAAAAAUGAACAAAUCAAUAUAAUUUUUUAUAUAUAUACCUUAGGUAUUUACCUAUCAUUUGAUAUAUUUUUAUGAAUAUUUGACCCUUUACCUGAUGAA